GCUAAAUUAUUACAUUAAAAAAAAUGGAUGUUUGUAUUCGAGUAUUCCAAAUGUACAAUUAAGCUAAUAACAUAAAAAUUGAAUGAAUAAUCAUUUAUCUCCUGUAAGAAAGCACAUGCAAACAGAAUAAUAAACUCAAUUCGAAUGAAGUUAAUUACAAAUAAAACUAGAUAGACACAAGUGCAGUUGAGUAAGAACUCUGAGAGAAUUGUAGUUGAAGAAAGGCUCACUCGAUUGUAAAUGAUUGUCCUUUAGAUCUUUGUUCAUGAGAAGGCAGAUAAAGAAAUGGAUCUAGAAAGUUAUUUAAG
rnacentral:misc_RNA from 1 species